UACAGAAAUAGUCACCGAAGAAACCCCCCAAGAAACCAUUAGCAAAGAGGACCUCCUGGACUGCAGAAUUCGGGAACUCGAAUUAUCUAUUAAAAAUAAAGAAUUAGCAGCAACGGAAGCGAAAGAAGAGGAAAAGGUUGAAGAAAAUGAAGAGGUGAAAGAAGAGGAAGAAAUGAAGGAUGAGGAGAAAGAACAAAGGAAAGUAGAAGAUGGAGAUGUGGAUGAAGAGUC